rnacentral:rRNA from 1 species
CCUACGGGAGGCAGCAGUCGAGAAUCAUUCACAAUGGGGGAAACCCUGAUGCUGCGACGCCGCGUGGGGGAAUGAAGUUCUUCGGUUUUUAAACCCUGUUCAUGUGGGAGCAAAUUAAAAAUAUAGUACCACAAGAGGAAGAGACGGCUAACUCUGUGCAAGCAGCCGCGGUAAUACAGAGGUCGCAAGGGUUUUUCGGAAUGACUGGGCGUAAAGCGUGCGUAGGCGGUUUCGUAAGUCGUGGGUGAAAGGCGCGGGCUCAACCCGCGGACGGCACAUGAUACUGGGAGACUAGAGUAAUGGAGGGGGAAGCGGAAUUCUAGGUGUAGCAGUGAAAUGCGUAGAUAUCGAGAGGAACAUUAGUGGCGAAGGCGGGUUCCUGGACAUUAACUGACGCUGAGGCACGAAGGCCAGGGGAGUGAAAGGGAUUAGAUACCCGUGUAGUC